rnacentral:rRNA from 1 species
UAAGGAAUACUGGCUCAAUGGUGGGANCUUUGAACCAGCCAUCCCGCGNUGCAGGACGAAGGCCCUCUGGGUUGNAAACUGCUUUUACCAGGAAAGAAACGAGUGGAUUCAUCUGCUCCUGACGGUACCUGGGGAAUAAGCACCGGCUAACUCCGUGCCAGCAGCCGCGGUAAUACGGAGGGUGCAAGCGUUAUCCGGAAUCACUGGGUUUAAAGGGUGCGUAGGCGGCUUGGUAAGUCAGAGGUGAAAGCUUCUCGCUCAACGGGAGAACUGCCUUUGAUACUGCCAGGCUCGAAUUGGGUUGAGGCUGGCGGAAUGUGGCAUGUANCGGNGAAAUGCUUAGAUNUGNCAUAGAACACCGAUUGCGAANGCAGNCAGCCAAGCCUUGAUUGACGCUGAGGCANGAAAAGCNUGGNGGAGCGAACAGGAUNAAGAUACCCUGGUAGUCCANGGCCCUAAAGCGAUGUUUACUCCGACGUCCGGGGCCCUGAGUCCGNGCGUCCAAAGCGAAAGNGGUUUANGUAAACCACCUGGGGAGUACGUNUCGCCUAGAAUNG